CACCAGGCUGAGGCCACACCACGCCGCGCCGCCCCCCAUUUGUUGCGGCCUGCCGUGCCGUGCCGCCGCCCGCCUCCGCCUCAAUCCGUCCGCCCCGCCGCCCCGCCUUCAAUUACUCCUCCCCACCAGCGACUCCCACUCUUUUCACUUCACCGCGCCCCCAUCCACCCCACCCGCCCGUCCACCUGCCCUGCCUUACCCGGCCGCGGCCGGCGCGCGCCCCCAAACCCUAGCCGGCGCCGCGAGGCGGCGAUGUCGGCGCCCUCGUCGCCCCCGCCGCAGCGGGGGCGGGGGGCGGGGGAGGGCGGCGGCGGGCUCCCCGUGCCCGUGCCGGCCGCCGUGGUCGGGGACGACAAGGUCCUGGCGGCGGCGCAGCACAUCGUCAAGUCGCUCGCCACGUCCAAGAACGCCGCCGACGACAUGAUCCGCAUCCUCUCGGGCUUCGACCACCGCCUCUCCUCCAUCACCUCCGAUCUCUUCCCGUCCCCGUCCCCGGCCCCCGCCGACUCCGACCCGGAUGCCUCGCCCGACCAGGAAGCCCCUGAUGCCGCCGCCUCGCUCGCGGCCUUCGACGCCGCCGAGCAGCUCAUCCACCUCUGGGACACCACCCCGGAGGCGCUCGUCUUCGAGGCCCCCGAGGACGACGCCGCGCACUACCUCGCCGCCGUCGACGUCGCCGUCGACCACCUCGCCUCCUCCUCCCCCGCAGUCUCCGGCCGUGCGGGGGUCGCGGUCCAGCUCGCCAUGGCGCGCCUCGAGGACGAGCUCCGCCACCUCAUGCUCCGCCACGCGGUGCCACUCGACGCCAGCGGCCUCUUCUGCUCACUGCGCCGCCUCUCGCUCGGAUCCAUGGACGACCUCGACACCUCCUCCGAGUUCGAUCCCGCCACCCCGCACAGCCAGGACGGAGGCGGCGGCGCCGGGCCGGACACUGCCCGCAGCGCCAGCAUCGCGGGGAACAACCCCUUCGACGACCAGGUGUUCGACCUCGUGCACCCGGAGGCUGUGGACGAGCUGCACGCCAUUGCCGACCGGAUGGUGCGCGCGGGGUACGCCAGCGAGCUCGCGCAAGUGUACUGCACCAUCCGCCGUGACCUGCUUGAUGAGUGCCUCAAUGUGCUAGGCGUCGAGCGGCUCAGCAUCGACGAGGUGCAGCGUGUUGAGUGGAAGCAUCUCAAUGACAAGAUGAAGAAGUGGGUCCAUGGGGUCAAGACGGUUGUCCGCUCCCUGCUGACCGGUGAACGGCGGCUCUGCGACCAGGUGCUUGCUGCGUCCGAUGAGCUCCGGGAUGAGUGCUUUGUUGAGUCCACCAAAGGCUGCAUUAUGCAGAUCCGCAACUUUGGGGAUGCGGUGGCUGUGUGCACUCGCUCGCCGGAGAAGCUUUCCCGCAUUCUGGACAUGUACGAGGCGCUUGCUGAAGUGAUCCCUGAACUGAAGGAGCUCUUCUUUGGUAGUUAUGGUGAUGAUGUCAUCCAUGAUUUGGAGGGGGUUCUUGAAAGGCUUGGUGAUGCAGUGAAGGGUACCCUUCUUGAGUUUGGGAAGGUCCUACAGCAGGAGUCAUCGCGCCGGCCAAUGAUGGCUGGUGAGAUCCACCCAAUGACGCGUUAUGUGAUGAACUAUCUUAGGUUGUUGGUCGUUUACAGUGAUACACUUGACACACUUUUGGAUGACAGUGGUGCUGGAGAUGUAGAUCAUAAUGCUUUACAUAACGGCACUGAUGAGGAUGAAGAGUAUCUGAAGAGCUUGACCCCACUUGGACGCCGUAUGGUCAAGCUGAUAUCUUACUUGGAGUCAAAUCUGGACGAGAAAUCCAAACUUUACGAGGAUGCUGCAUUGCAGUGCAUAUUUUCCAUGAAUAACACACUCUAUAUUGUCCAAAAGGUGAAGGAUUCUGAGCUUGGGAGGAUUUUGGGUGAUCAUUGGAUCCGGAGGCGCCGUGGCAAGAUUCGGCAAAAUUCAAAGAGCUACCUCAGGGUUUCAUGGACCAGAGUGUUAUCUUAUUUGAGGGAUGAUGGUCAUGGAAGCAGCGGGAGUGGAAGUUUCGGCAGCAGUGGGAGUUCAAGCUCUAGGAUUAAAGAAAAAUUUAAGAACUUCAACUUGGCCUUUGAUGAGAUAUACAGGAGUCAAACACUGUGGAAAGUACCGGACCCUCAGCUCCGGGAGGAACUCAAGAUAUCUAUAUCUGAAAAUGUGAUUCCAGCUUAUCGUGCUUUUACGGGAAGAUAUGGCAGUCUAGUGGAUAGUGGAAGGAAUUCAGGAAAAUACAUUAAGUACAACCCUGAGGACUUGGAAAAUCACCUUUCUGAUCUAUUUGAAGGGUCACCAGGGUCUGCCAACCAUUCCAGGAGAAGAUGAGAAUUUCUUAUGAUGGUAUUUGGCUACAGAAAAAGAAUCUCAUCCAUUUGUUGUUCUCCUUUGAAAGAUUAAUCUUCUUAUGCUCGCCUUAGCUAAAUGCAGUGGCAGAGUGGACACAUCAUGAAGAUCUUUUUGAACUUCCAUGGAGAAUUUGUCGCCGGAUAUUUGGAAAAGGAAAGUAAGAAGGAAAACAUGACCAGUUCACUGGAUACCUCAAAUGUUUCUUUUGAAUGUAUACCGCAAGAUGAGUUGAAUGGUAAAUCAGCAAGUUACAGCCCAUCAGAGUCGUAACCUUCCCUAGUUGUUCUGUCCAGUUAUCUGCUUUGGUUUUCGUCUUCCAAAUAAUGGUGAACAUCGGCUUGUCUCGAUCAAAAUAAGGGCAACGUAGGUUAAUUGUUAGCUCCACAGUUUGUCACUUUCUGACUUGAAUCUCCAUGUAAAAACAUAGCAUCAAAUGUUAAGGCUCUAUAUUCCUAUGAGUUUCUCUAUAUUCACAUGAGACUCUUUAUAUAA